GAUAAACGCUGGCGGUGUACAUAAGACAUGCAAGUCGAACGGGAGAAGACAGGAAGAUUUAUCUACUUGUUGGACAUCGUGGCGGACGGGUGAGUAACACGUAAGCAACCUGCCUAUAAGAGGGGAAUAACAGUGAGAAAUUACUGAUAAUACCGCAUAAGCUGGAGGUAUCGCAUGAUACAUUCAGAAAAGAUUUAUCGCUUAUAGAUGGGCUUGCGUCUGAUUAGCUAGUUGGUGAGAUAACAGCUCACCAAGGCGACGAUCAGUAGCCGGAUUGAGAGGUUGAACGGCCACAUUGGGACUGAGACACGGCCCAGACUCCUACGGGAGGCAGCAGUCGGGAAUAUUGCACAAUGGAGGAAACUCUGAUGCAGUGACACCGCGUAUAGGAAGAAGGUCUUAGGAUUGUAAGCUAUUGUCGUGUGAGAAGAAAAUGACCAUCACAGGAGGAA
rnacentral:rRNA from 1 species